GCACAGCAGCUGCUGGCCCAGGUGCUAAGCCCCUCACUGCCUGGGGCUGGCGGGGCCGGCAGGCCGCUCCGAGUGCGGGCCCGCCGAGCCUACGCCCACCCGGAACUCGCGCUGGCCCGGAAGCACCGCGCGCAGCCCCGGUUCCGGCCCGCGCCUCUCCCUCCACACCUCCCCACAAGCUGAGGGAGCCGGCUGCGGCCUUCGCCAGCCCAGAAAGGGGCUCCUACAGUGCAGUGGCGGGCUGAAGGGCUGCUCAAGCGCCGCCAAAGUGGGAGCCCAGGCAGAGGAGGCGCCCAGAGCGAGCGAGGGCUGUGAGGACUGCCAGCACGCUGUCACCUCUCACUCAUAUAGAUUGCCAAUCUAUUUGUGAACCAGGUUUGCUGGAGUUUGGAUUUACUACUGAGUCAUAUUUGGAGCAUGCUGGAAUCUUACAACUGAGAUUACCGAGUCAGAAACUGUUGUUUUUGUUGUAAGAACACUCAACAUGGCCGGGCACGGUGGCUCACACCUGUAAUCCCAGCACUUUGGGAGGCCGAGGCAGGUGGAUCACCUGAGGUCAGGAGUUCAAGACCAGCCUUACCAACAUGGUGAAACCCCAUCUCUACUAAAAACACAAAAAAGGUGGGUGUGGUGGCAGGCACCUGUAAUCCCAGCUUUUCGGGAGGCUGAGACAGGAGAAUCACUUGAACCCGAGAGGCAGUGGUUGCAGUGAGCUGAUAUCACGCCAGUGCACUCCAGCCUGGGUGACAGAGUAAGACUCUGUCUCAAACAAACAAGCAAACAAAAAACCAAAACAAAACAAAACACUCAACAUGUCUAUACUCUUAAUAAAUUUUUAAAUGCAAAAUACUAUUGCUAACUAUAGGCAGUAUGCCGUACAGCAUCUUUUUAGAACUUAUGUAUAUAAAAUAACUGAAACUUUAUGUCUACUGAAUAACAACUCCCCAUUUUCCUAUCCACCAGCUCCUGGAAAAAACCAUUCUGAUCUCUGCUUCUAUUAGUUUGACUAUUUUAAAUACCUCAAAUGAGUGAAAUAAUGCAGAUGACAUGAUCUCAUAUGCAGAAAAUCCUAAAGACUACACACACACACACACACACACACACACACACACACACACACACACUGUUAGAACUAAUAAAUUUAAUAAAGC
rnacentral:lncRNA from 1 species